rnacentral:rRNA from 1 species
GAUGAACGUUGGCGGUGUGCCUAAUACAUGCAAGUCGAACGGAGACAGUAGCAAUAUUGUCUUAGUGGCGAACGGGUGAGUAACGCGUUGGUGACCUGCCCCGAAGUGUGGAAUAACAGUUCGAAAGAAUUGCUAAUACCGCAUGUGAUCUUUGAGAUUAGAACCUCUUUGAUUAAAGGAUUUAUUCGCUUCGGGAGGGGCCUGCGUCCCAUCAGCUAGUUGGUAGGGUAAAAGCCUACCAAGGCUAUGACGGGUAGGGGACCUGAGAGGGUGGCCCCCCACAAUGGAACUGAAACACGGUCCAUACACCUACGGGUGGCAGCAGUAGGGAAUAUUAGUAAUGGGCGAAAGCCUGAACUAGCAACACCGCGUGUGCGAUGAAAGGCCUUGGGUCGUAAAGCACUUUUCGGGAGGAUGAGGAAGGACGGUACUCCCGGAAUAAGUCUCGGCUAACUACGUG